CAGGACGAACGCUGGCGGCGUGCCUAACACAUGCAAGUCGAACGGACUGAUUCUCUUCGGAGAUGAAAGUAGUGGCGGACGGGUGAGUAACGCGUGAGUAGCCUGCCUUCAGAGGGGGAUAACGUUUGGAAACGAACGCUAAUACCGCAUAACAUAUCGUUGUCGCAUGGCAGUGAUAUCAAAGGAGCAAUCCGCUGAAAGAUGGACUCGCGUCUGAUUAGAUAGUUGGCGGGGUAACGGCCCACCAAGUCGACGAUCAGUAGCCGGACUGAGAGGUUGAACGGCCACAUUGGGACUGAGACACGGCCCAGACUCCUACGGGAGGCAGCAGUGAGGGAUAUUGCACAAUGGGCGCAAGCCUGAUGCAGCAACGCCGCGUGAAGGAUGACGGUUUUCGGAUUGUAAACUUCUGUUCUUAGUGAUGAUAAUGACAUUAGCUAAGGAGAAAGCCACGGCUAACUACGUGCCAGCCGCCGC
rnacentral:rRNA from 1 species